GGAGUGGCUGUGGUUCAGUGCAAGAGACUCUGCUUUGCAUACAGAAGUCCCCAGGUUCAAUCCCUGGCACCUCCA
rnacentral:tRNA from 1 species